CGCGUAGGCGGCUUGGCAAGUCAGAUGUGAAAGCCCCGGGCUUAACUCGGGAAUUGCAUCUGAAACUGCUUUGCUUGAGUCCUGGAGGGGAUAGUGGAAUUCCCAGUGUAGCGGUGAAAUGCGUAGAUAUUGGGAGGAACACCUGCGGCGAAGGCGGCUAUCUGGACAGUGACUGACGCUGAGGCGCGAAAGCUAGGGGAGCGAACGGGAUUAGAUACCCCGGUAGUCCUAGCUGUAAACGAUGGGCACUUGGUGUUGGGGGUAUUGAGUCCCUCGGUGCCGGAGUUAACACGUUAAGUGCCCCGCCUGGGGAGUACGGUCGCAAGACUGAA
rnacentral:rRNA from 1 species